rnacentral:lncRNA from 1 species
ACCCAGCCUCACGGUGCUCACGCGUCCCGGUCAAGGGCAGCCGCUGCAGCCCUGGGACUCCCAGCCCCGGCCCAUCUUCUAUCCAUCCCUCCCAGGCCCUGAGUCCCUGGGCUGCGGUGCCAACCCGCGAUCUCUGAGCUUCCUGCAGACGCUGCGGCGCGCGCUCCUACCGUUCCCUCCCCCUCGCGCUCGGGUUACAGCAGCGGCGGACUCCUGAGAGCAUGGCCUGGCGUCCGCACAGGGUGGAAUUCGUAUUUGGCCAGGAAUCCGGACUCCGAGCAUCCCAGGAGACGCGGACCGGGGGCCUCCAGAGCUCUCCGGAGCGUGCUGCCGCUCCCCACCGGCCACCAGGGACUUGGAGGUCCUUCUUGGGUCCGGAGAAGCGACGGGGAAACUUAGGGGUAAACUUUGCCAACUUCGCUCUCGGCGCGGGAGAGGCCGCCGGCCGGAAUGGUGCAACAGCGGUGGCGAGCCCCGACGCGCAGGGUGGGCCCCGGGCCAGGGCUGGGCACCCGGGAGCGAGUCGGAAUGCCCAAGGUGGGGCGUGAAGGCGGUGGGCUCUUAGGUCCCCCGCUCCGCCCCUGCGCCUCCUGCGACCCGGCUCACUUCCCUGCGUCUGUCAGCGGCCCGAGAGGCGCAGCACCCUGAGUGACCUGGCUGGAAGAUCCUGGCCCUCCGCGGGAAUGAUUUUCUUUUCUUUUACCUCUUCCGGAUCAGCCGUUUAACACCUGACUUGAGCAGCCCCCUCCCCCGUGCCUUUGGUUUUCUCUUUCCUUCCGUCUGUCCUUCCCAUUUCCUCUAUCUUCGAUUUCUAGAUCAUUCACUUUUCUUCUCUUUCCCCCGCUCCCUCACUGUGCUGUUUUUAUGCCUUUGCCCUGGACCACUUUUCAGUUCACUUUUCUCCCUUCUGCUCCCUCCUUCACCCCCUUCUUAAUGUCUCUUUUUUCCUCUCCCUGCGUCUGUGACUGUGUCCCUUUCCCCCAUCCGCAGUUCUCGUUUUUAAUUUUCUUUCUUUCCUCCCCACUUCCAUCUGGAUCCUCUCCUAUUUCUUCCUUGGAUUUCUUGUUCUGUCUCUCAGGUUCUCCUCUCCGUAAAUAUUCUCUCUUCUUCUCUCCCUCUCCGGGAUCCGUCCCCUCCCCCACGUGGAUCUGCCUCCCCGGCGCCCCCUCCUCAUUCAUCCUGAGAGAUGAAUUUGUCGCCUUAUUGGACGCCGAGGCCAGAGCGGUGUGAGGGGGCUCGGCCAGCGCUGUGCAUUUUCUUCAUGCAUAUUGAGAAGAUGGUAAUGAGCGCGUUUGCAUUGUUGCUUGGAAAUGUUGUGUUUCCUGCUGCAGUUCGCAGUUCGGAGUGGGCGAGGGUGGUGCGGGCCCAGGACAGCCCCUCAGUAGGCACCCGGCGUGGCGGCCGCCGCUGACCCUCUCCGGAUUCCCGGGCUCUCGGGGCCGGGGAGGAAGCGACCUUGCCGAGCUCCUGACCCAGCCGCCGCCUCCUCCUCCGGUUUCUCGACAAAGGCCGGCGCGCUCCCCUCAUUAAAGCCUCGUUACAGGAACCCCUGGCUGGCUCGCGACGGCUCCUCUGAGCCCCCCUGCCCACCAGCCUCUGAGCCCCUCCCCUGGUGUUGAGAGGCCUGUGAUGGAGCGCCACGAGAAAAUUAGUGCCUGACAACGUCGUCUAUUGGCAAUAAAUUGAGAUUCCAAGUGACACGUCGCGGGAUCAAACACAACCACAUUGUGUACCCUGCUCCGCUCACUCCUCGUUAAUUUUGGAGGGCGCCUUGGCAUCGCUUGGCCAGGGGAGGUUGUACGCAGGCCUUUCGGCUGUCAGGACUCCGGUCCUGCCUGGGCUCAGCCAGGGCAGAGCCCACUUCAGUCAUUCAGGAGGGACUGACUGCCCCUUCCUGGUAAGGUCCAAGGCGCUCAGGAGGCGUGACCCAGGCACGCCUUUCACUAAGCUGAAGGUUUAUGAAAGUCAGGAGCUUCGAGGAGCAAACUCUGAGUUGAGCUCGUGGGGAAUCGACGUGAGCCUUGCUGGGAAUUGAGAACAUCAAGGUCUGGCCUUGUCUGGAAUUGUCUGGUGUCGAGUUUCCCAAACUUCAAGCUUCUUGCUACCACCUUUAUUAUUUACUUAACAUUUUUCCAUAAAUUGACUCAUUUUUAAAACCAAAGUACAUAUUUUUGGAAAGAAAACCUGAUACUACCACUGUAAAUUGAAAAGUAGCUGUUACUCACCAGAAAAGGAAAUGGUAAAAGAUAAACACAGCUAAAACCAAGCAGUGUUA